GCCUCAGGACCAGCGUGGAGUCUUCAAGAAGAUGUGGGCCCACGUCCACCCUGACAGGAGGCCUGAGCCACCUCAGGACCCGCGGGGAGGUUUCAGAAAAUUGUGGGCCCGCAUCCACAGUGACAGGAGCCCCUCAGCAGCCUCAAGACCCACGGGGAGGCUUCAGGAAGAUAUGGGCCCGCAUCUACGCUGACAGGAGCCCCUGAGCCACCUCAGGACCUGCGGGGAGGCUUCAGGAAGAUGUGGUGCGACAUCCACUCUGGCAGGAGCUCCCAGGCCCCUCAGUACAUAAGUUGAGGCUUCUGGAAGCUGGGGGCUGCAUUCAUGGUUACAGGAGCCCCGGCCUCCUCAGAACCCUUGGUGACACUUCAGGAGGACUUGGGGCCACAUGGACACAACAGGACGGUGACUUCCUCAGGACCCCAGGUGUAGACAUGGGGAAAUAUGGGGAUGCGUCCAUGGGGACAGAAGACCCCAGCUUUGUCAGGGCCUGUGGUGAAGCCUAAGAAAAAUGUGGGUGCCGCAUCCACACUGACAGGAUUCUCCAGCCUUCUCAGAACCCACUGUGAAGGUUUGGGAAGAUUAUGUGCCACAUCCCUGCUGACAGGAGCCCCGAGCCUCCUCAGGUCUUAUGGUGAGGCUUGAGGAAAAUGUGGGGCCACGUCAACCCUGACAGGAACCCCGUCCUCCUCAGGACAAGCACUUUGGCUUCAGGACAUAUGGGGCUGCGUCUAUGCUGACAGGAGCCCACAGUCCCCUCAGGACCUGCGGUGAGUUUUCUAGGGGACGUGGGGCCAUGUCCAGACUGACAGGAGCCCCCGGCUUCCUGAGGACCUGCUGUGAGGCUUCCAGAGGAUGUGAGACAUAGUCCACAAUGCCAGGAGACCCGGCGUCCUCAGGACCUGCUGACUAUGACUCAGGAACACGUUGGGCCAUGUCCACACUCACAGGAGCCCGGCUCGCUUGGACCCCCUGAGGACUCUGGAGGAGCCAUUGGGGGCCACGUCUACAUCAGAAGGGACUCCUCAGAACCACAGGAUUCCCAGGAUGGAUGUGGGCCCGCAUCCACCCUGACAGGAACACCUGGGCCGCUUCAGGACCUGCAGGGAGGCUUCAGGAAGCUGUGGUGCUGCGUCCACUCUGUCAGGAGCUCCCGGGCCACUCAGGACAUAAUUUGAGUCUUCUGGAAGGAUCAGCACUUUGGCUUCAGGACAUAUGGGGCUGCGUCUAUGCUGACAGGAGCCCACAGCCCCCUCAGGACCCGCAGUGAGUUUUCUGGGGGCCAUGGGGCCAUAUCCAGGCUGACAGGAGCCCUUGGCCUCCUGAGGACCUGCUGUGAGGCUUCCAGAGGAUGUGAGGCAUAGUCCACAGUGACAGGAGACCCGGCAUCCUCAGGAUCCGCUGACUAUGACUCAGGAACACAUGGGGCCACAUCCACACUCACAGGAUCCUGGCUUCCUCAGGACCCCCUGGAGGACUCUGGAGGUGCCAUUGGGGGCCACGUCCAUGUCAGAAGGGACUACUCAGAACCACAGGGUAAGUGAAUGGGUAGAAUGAAUGGUAGGGUCAGGGGAGGGGAGGCAGUUGGUGGUUAAGUUAGGCUAGA
rnacentral:lncRNA from 12 species